UACGUAGGCAGCAAGCGUUGUUCGGAGUUACUGGGCGUAAAGGGCUCGUAGGCGGCCAACUAAGUCAGACGUGAAAUCCCUCGGCUUAACCGGGGAACUGCGUCUGAUACUGGAUGGCUAGAGGUUGGGAGAGGGAUGCGGAAUUCCAGGUGUAGCGGUGAAAUGCGCAGAUAUCAGGAGGAACACCGGUGGCGAAGGCGGGUCUCUGGGCAACAACUGACGCUGAGGAGCGAAAGCGUGGGGAGCGAACAGG
rnacentral:rRNA from 1 species